AGCUGGGGGCUGGCAGCUCAUCCACGGCUCCGCUGCCAGGGACACAGUGCCCUCUCUUGGAGAUUCCAAAUCCAGCCCCACGCCGGGAUUGAGGACAAAAAACCGCUGGAAUCCCCUAAAAAAAACCCCGAUUUCUGCCCAAGAAAGAACUCUGGCCUGGCUGGUUAUUCCUCGGAGGAACAGGAGACACCUCUGGAGCUGCUCCUGAGGCAGGAAUGCUCAUCCGCAGGUGGAAUUGGAUUUCUGUUCCCAUGACUGACAACACAACUCCAUCCCGGCCUAUGGCAGCUGCUGCUAUUUUCAGCGCUCUGCCUCUCUCCAGUUAUUAUUCCAAAGCGAAACCAGGAACGAAGGGCUCAGUGAGACGAGCAGGGAAUGCUGAGCUCGGGG